AUUGAACGCUGGCGGCAUGCUUUACACAUGCAAGUCGAACGGCAGCGCGGGCUUCGGCCUGGCGGCGAGUGGCGAACGGGGGAGUAAUGCACCGGAACGUGCCCCGUAGUGGGGGAUAGCACGGCGAAGGCCGGAUUAAUACCGCAUACGACCUGAGGGUGAAAGCGGGGGACCGAAAGACCUCGCCCUUUUGGAGCGUCCGAUGUCGGAUUAGCUAGUUGGUGGGGUAAAGGCUUACCAAGGCGACGAUCCGUAGCUGGUCUGAGAGGACGACCAGCCACACUGGAACUGAGACACGGCCCAGACUCCUACGGGAGGCAGCAGUGGGGAAUUUUGGACAAUGGGGGCAACCCUGAUCCAGCCAGGCCGCGUGCGGGAAGAAGGCCUUCGGGUUGUAAACCGCUUUUGUUCGGGAAGAAAACCUCUGGGCUAAUACCCCGGGGGGAUGACGGUACCCGAAGAAUAAGCACCGGCUAACUACGUG
rnacentral:rRNA from 1 species